UCCCCACAUUGGUACAAUGUGUGAAGCCCAUUUCUGGUAUGUGGUUAAGUUGGUUUAGAGCCUAUUGGUAGCAGAGAACUGAGUAUUUUACAUUGAGAAAUUA